rnacentral:misc_RNA from 1 species
GAUGAAGAACGUAGCGAAAUGCGAUAAGUAAUGUGAAUUGCAGAAUUCAGUGAAUCAUCGAAUCUUUGAACGCACAUUGCGCCCGCCAGUAUUCUGGCGGGCAUGCCUGUUCGAGCGUCAUUACAACCCUCAGGCCCCCGGGCCUGGCGUUGGGGAUCGGCAGAAGCCCCCUGUGGGCACACGCCGUCCCUCAAAUACAGUGGCGGUCCCGCCGCAGCUUCCAUUGCGUAGUAGCUAACACCUCGCAACUGGAGAGCGGCGCGGCCAUGCAGUAAAACACCCAACUUCUGAAUGUUGACCUCGAAUCAGGUAGGAAUACCCGCUGAACUUAAGCAUAUCAAUAAGCGGAGGA